GGCUCUGUGGCGCAAUGGAUAGCGCAUUGGACUUCUAGUAGAGCUGAAGGAAUUCAAAGGUUGUGGGUUCGAGUCCCACCAGAGUCG
rnacentral:tRNA from 1 species